UUUGACAAACCUAGAGCAUUGGAUAAGUUGAAAAAGGAGUAAUAGGCAUGUAAAACUAUUCCUCUAGCGCUAUAUAUUAUAAUACCACGUUAAGUUUUGAACACUGAAAUGGUGUAUAACUAAAAUGUCUGCUUAUAAUUGUAUGAGUGGAAAAAAGAAGAUACCUAUUGAGAGCAAAGCACCAUCUCAAGUCAGUAUCAAUCUCUUCUUCAUACCAACAGCUCUUUCUAAUUGGACCUACAACUAUUGCAUGUCCAUUUCCAUUAUUAUUCAAUCCAUUCCCAUUAGCAGAGCAAGAUAUUUCACCCAUUAUUCAACACUUGAUCAAAAUUAAGAAAUAGAAGAGAAGGAGACAAGUG
rnacentral:lncRNA from 1 species